rnacentral:rRNA from 1 species
CUCUUUUAGUAAUUUAUUAAAAGUUUAACCUGCCCAUUGAUAAUAAAUAUUUAAAGGCUGCGGUAUUUUGACCGUACAAAGGUAGCAUAAUCAUUAGUUUUUUAAUUGAAAGCUUGUAUGAAUGGUUGAAUGAAAUAUUAACUGUUUUAAUUAAAAUUUUGAAUUUUACUUUUUAAUUAAAAGGUUAAAAUAUUAUUAAAAGACGAGAAGACCCUAUAGAGUUUUAUAAUUUAUUUAUAUCUUUUUUAUAAGGGUUAAUAAUUAUUAAUGUGUAUAUAUUUAUAUUAUUUUAUUGGGGUGAUAGUAAAAUUUAAUAAACUUUUAUUUUUAUUUAUUACAUUUAUUUAUGAAUAAUUGAUCCAUAAAUAAUGAUUAUAAGUUUAAAUUACCUUAGGGAUAACAGCGUAAUUUUUUUUUAAGUUCUUAUUAAUAAAAAAGUUUGCGACCUCGAUGUUGGAUUAAGAUUAAUUUUAGGUGUAGAUGUUUAAAAUUUAAGUCUGUUCGACUUUUAAAUUCUU